rnacentral:lncRNA from 1 species
AAAAAUUUGUAUAUAUUUUUCAUUCCAUUAGAGUAAAAUAUUGAACUCCUAGGAUCCAUAAGAGAAUGCACACUACAUAAUUAAUCAAAUUUGUUACAUCUUAACCAAUGAUAAAAGAUAACUAUAAAGAAAAAGAUUUAGAUGAUCUUCAAAUUCAUAGAAAAUUCAUUCUCAAGAUGAGAUAGUUCUUUUCAUUUAACAAUAUUACUU